GUACUUGCUUCGGCAGUACAUAUACUAAAAUUGGAAUGAUACAGAGAAGAUUAGCAUGGCCCCUGCGUAUCUCCCUGAAGUAAUAUCUAACAGUAAUUC